rnacentral:rRNA from 1 species
UACGUAGGGUGCAAGCGUUGUCCGGAAUUAUUGGGCGUAAAGAGCUCGUAGGCGGUCUGUCGCGUCUGCUGUGAAAUCUCAGGGCUUAACCCUGAGCUUGCAGUGGGUACGGGCAGACUAGAGUGCGGUAGGGGAGACUGGAAUUCCUGGUGUAGCGGUGAAAUGCGCAGAUAUCGGGAGGAACACCGGUGGCGAAGGCGGUUCUCUGGGCCUUACCUGACGCUGAGGAGCGAAAGCGUGGGGAGCGAACAGG